rnacentral:rRNA from 1 species
CGAGCGGCGGACAGGUGAGUAAUGCUUGGGAACAUGCCUUGUGGUGGGGGACACCACUUGGAAACAACUGCUAAUACCCCAUAAUGUCUACAGAGCAAAGGGGGCUUCGGCUCUCGCCUUUUUAUUGGGCCAAGUGGGAUUAUCUAUUUGGUGAGGUAAUGGGUCACCAAGGCGACAAUCCCUAUCUGGUUUGAGAGGAUGAUCACCCCCACUGGGACUGAGACACGGCCCACACUCCUACGGGAGGCACCACUGGGGAAUAUUGCACAAUGGGCGCAAGCCUGAUGCACCCAUGCCCCGUGUGUGAAAAAAGCCUUCUGGUUGUAAAGCACUUUCUCUCACGAGGAAAGGUUAGUAGUUAAUACCUGCUAUCUGUGACAUUACUGACACAAAAAACACCGGCUAACUCCCUGCCACCACCCCCGGUAAUACAGAGGGUGCGAGCGUUAAUCUCAAUUACUGGGCGUAUAGCGUACACACGCGGUUUGUGAAGCGAGAUGUGAAAGCCCCGGGCUCUCCCUGUGAACUGCAUUUCUAACUGUCAAACUAUAGUGUGAUAUAGGGUGGGAGAAAAUCACGUGUAUCGGUGAAAUGCGUAUAGAUCUGAAAGAAUACCCAUGGCGAAAGCGCCCACCUGUGUCAACACUGACACUCAUGUGUAAAGCGUGUGGAGAAACACGAUUAUAUACCCUGGUAGUCCACGCCGCAUACGAUGUCUACUAUAAAUCGCAACCUCGGUCUGUUUUUCACAGCUAACACAUUAAUAGACACCCUGGGGAGUACACCGCACGGUUAUAACU